AGCUGGGAGGAGCGGCAUCCUUCAAUUGUUUCCACGACUUGAACCCGUCGUGUUUAUAAAUGUAGUUUGCAGAAUGUAUGAAAUUUCAGUUUUCUUUCAACGAGAAAGCCUAUCUGUAUUUAUCACAUGAUGUUUAUCUUAAUUUUGGCUGCUGAUUGUAAACACUGCAUUGUUGUUUGUCUGGGUAUCAUUUAGUUGUCAAUGGGAGAAUCAAAGUUGCCAGCACGGUGUUAGGCCACAUCGUAGGUUGAAUUGGGCUAGGAUUGUGGUCUUCUAGUUUGACUAUCGACUGUUAAGAGUUGUACCGUUGAUCUCUAAACCUGCAGAGAUGGUUCAAGUAGGUCCCUCAACUUGAUAUUUUGGUCCUUCAGUGUCAGAACUUGUUUUGCUUGCUCUUAUGGAGAUAGUAGCUAUCUCAUGGCCAAGAUAAAAGUUGCCCUACAGUUGCUUACCUUGUUGCUCCUCACAAUGUGAUAAGAAAAGACACAUAAAAGUACAGGGCCCUCAUAUAAACGUCUGAUAGAAGUAAAAAAAUUGGUUAGUUAAAUUUGGUUUAUUUGCAAAUUUAGUUAGUGAUAAAUGCUAACCGAAAAUGGCAACAUAAAACAACACACUGAAAAUUUGAUUAACCGACUAAUUCGGUUUGGUUUUCAGUUCAUACCUAAUGCAUUGUUUGCUUUAUACCCACCAUGAAACUAUGUGCCUUUCACCACAUACACCUCUCCCUCAUAUAGGCCAGGUCUCUGCCCCCUUCUGAUUAGCUAGGCGAGGUGGCGCCAUGGUUUUCGAGUCGAUGAGUUAGUUGUUCUUGGAUAGCGACUCGUGAAGAGGCGAGCUUGGCAAAUCAACUAGUCGCGACUAGUCGAGGGGUUUGAGUCAAUCCUGGCUGUGCGACUUGUUGAUUAGUCGACGACUAGUCGCGCGACUCAGAAAACCAUGGGCGGGACUUAAUUCUACUGCAGCUGCACACUGCCAAGAAGGCCAAGUAUUGCGUUUUGUUUGGUUUGGGCCUUACUGCAGCUGGUUGGCCCAUAGGAGAAUCAGGCUUUUGGACGUUUGUUCCUGGUCGGAUAAUCGAGAUAAAAUACCAAACUGACCGAUUUUAACUCGGUUAUUGAAAGUAACAAGCUUGGGUAAAUGAUGAGGGUUGUGAUAGGCUUGGCGAGCCAACGUUAAAUCUCAGCCACUCUUGUGGAGAUGAAAGCAACACAAGGAAGGACCAAGUCCGGAAUGAUGAUAUACGAGAUAGAGUUGGGGUAGUACCAAUUGAGGAGAAGCUUGUCCAACAUCGUCUGAGAUGGUUUGGGCAUAUUCAGCGUAGUCCUCCAGAAGCUCCAGUGCAUAGUGGACGUCUGAAGCAUUGGGUUGAGCGGAUUUGACAUGGGAGGAGUCCGUAUAGAGAGAGCUGAAGGACUGGAGUAUCACCAAAGAACUAGCCAUGGACAAGGGUGGUUGGAAGCUUGCUAUCCAUGUAUGUGUGCCCGAACCAUGAGUUGGUUGCGAGACAUUAUGGGUUUCAUCUCUAGCCUACCUAACUUGUUUUUGACUUAAGGCUUUGUUGUUGUUGUAUUGAAAGUAACAACCGAAUAUAUUAGUGCCAUGAUACAAACCAAAAGAGAGUUUUUUUCGUUGUCGGGGUCGGUUCGGUUUUUUGGUUGGGCGGUUUUUAUUCCCACCCCUACUUGUGAUCACCUUCUAAGUUUGUGGAACAUCCAAGAGACCCUAGGUUCCAGGUAUUCGCCAUGUUGUUGGGUGGAGGUGCUUCGAGGUUGAUUGGUUUCUAUAGAUACUCUAGUUAUCACUGUUAAGUAUAUUAUAUCUCCUCUUCCAUGGGUUGAUAACUUGAGAACGAAAACUAAAAAUACAUUUGACAUGUUAUAUUUGAUUAUGUAGAGCUGCAAAAUAUUUAUUGAAUAUAAGUAGAAUAAUUGAAUGGAAAACAAUUUUCCAUGCAUGAUUGAAUGUUGUGGUGGGUCUUUCUCCAUGCAUGGUGGCAUGUUGAGAUGGGUUUUCCUAUUGUCCUGUUUUCGCCUGGGUUUUCGUAUUGUUUUCUUUAGUUGCUUCUCUAUGUUCCAUAUUUGCUUCACUUUCCUGCCCCAGCUCUGGCUUGUUAGCAGUUGCUUCUUUGGGUGCAUGAUCCAUUAUCAUUUUCUCCUCCUUUAGAUCAGAUGUUUUUGAUUUGUCCUCCGACAGCAAGUUUUUUCCUUCACUAGUCCUACUUUGGUAAUUCUGGAUAGUCUUCCAAGGGCUUGUAACUCCUUUCUCCUCUCCUUUCCUUAUUCUAUUUUCCUCUGCUUCUGACUGGGUGUUUUUCCUCCAUGAUGAACUGUCGCUUCCCUGCUUACUAUCUCGAUUUCCAGUGCUGUUUGUAAGCCAAAAGUUACCUCUAUCACUCGAACUCCUGCUCUUUUCUUCACUAAAGCUUCCCUUAUAGAUGACUGCCCGCAACUCUGGCCCAAAUUGUCUUGCUCCUUCCCUUCUGGUUGUGGGUGGGCAUGCUCUCUGUGUGUGAUGCCGCAACAGUAAGAAAAGUCUGGAAGAUGUUCGUAUUUGAAAUCAACAAUCUUCCUCCCUUUCGUUCUUUUAUUUUCUUCCUCCGCAUCAGUGCCCGUCAACUCCUCGUACAUGUCCUCUUGCUCUUCCUCGUCAUUUUCAAUUUCUAACGUAAAAAAUCUUGUUAUUGGCACUGUGAUAUCCAUCCGGACCUUGAUUCUCAUAAACUUGCCCAUCGCAGUUCCAUCAUGAUCCAGGUCAAUGUCAAGUACUUCUCCAAUAUUCUUCCCAAUCAAUUCUCCUGUUUCGGAACUCAUCAUGCCAAUGGGAAUACCAUAAACUCUGACUCAGAUAGGAAUAAAUUUGAAUUCAUACUCAUCAAUUGUUUUACUGGGCACAAAUUUUUCCAUCACUAUCCGAUCCUUGUUGAAACUCCAUGGCCCACUAUCCAGAGCUUUCUUCUUGCUACUCUCAUCAUGGAAAGUGAAUAGAAAGCGAUUUCUACCAAGAUCUUUGCAGUCCAGCCGAGUAAAAGGGUACCACAAAUUUUCUAAAGUUCUACCCACAUACUCUGCUUUUGCUGGCCUCUGCGACAGAAGCUUACUGACAGCCCGAUGCUUGCCAAUCGUCGGGGAGCAGGCCUGCCUUCUACCGAUUUUGACACUCUUCUUUUCUGCCCCUGAGAGCCUCAGAUCUCUCAUUUUGCCCUCCACCCCGUCCAGGGCAAGGUUCCUCUUGUCUCCAUUGCUAGAUGUCCUCGCUGAAUCCUGGGGGAAUACCCAGUAGCUGUCUCCAAGCUCACCUCCGCACGCCGGGGACCAGGGUUAUCCGGUGCUUACAAUCGCCCGAGACCAGAGAAGAGAGGCUUUUGUUUGGGGAUUUCUUGAUGGAUUUGCUUCUCGUUCUUGGUCUGGGAAUUUUUUUUUGGACAAUCAAAUCUCGAGCAGCAGCUGUUGAUUGGGUUGGAAGAUGAUGGGGAACUGGUCUAGGAUCUCUCCAUUGCUCCCAGCAAAUGAGAAAACCAAGUAUGGAUCUGGAAUCUCGAUGGAUUUGGAUCACGCUUUGGGCGGCAGUGUUGCCGAAACAGAGUGGUUGUGAAGUCGCACGAAGUUGCCCGAACAGGCACGAAUCGUCACGAGCGGACGUACUACGAGGAGAUCGAGCACAAGCUUUGGAGGAGUUGAGUUAUUAAAUCUGUCUUUCUGGAUAGAUGGUUAAAUGACUAUCUCAACAAUCACCACUCGGAAGCUACGAUUCUGCGUGGAGCAGUGCAACUAGGCAACAGCAGAUAUGCCACCCUUGUUAGAUUGUGUGCGUAGCUGACGGGGUUGUCUUGAUUCGUUGCCCACCGCUAUUAAGAGCCACAUUUCUCAUAUUGUUGUAGGAGAGAGUCAGGAGGUACAUCAGGUGCUGUUAACUCAUAGUUAGCUCCACAAAGAGGAAACAAGUAGAAGCCACACACAGCCUGUUCCAUGAGCGUAGUUGUGUUUUCUUUGCUUUCAGCAAUAGUGUCCAGAGGGACAGUUUCAUCAAUAAAGGUUAUCACCUGUCCUUGUGUGUUUGAAAUUUUCAGUUCCAUCUUAACAAAAUCCAUUUGAACCGGACUGUAUUUCUUCAACCAAUCCACUCCUAGAAUCAUAUCAUAACCAGUUAACUUAAGGACUCUGAAACUGUCACAAAAUGCACUGCCCUGAAUCUCAUAAGGGCAAUUCCUGACUGUAAACUCAUUCCACAAGAUUUCCCCACUUGCUACCACUACCUUUACUUUGGUAUUAGCCACAGGUGCAAUGGGCAUUUUACCAGCCAUUUCAGGGCACACAAAUGUAGCAGUGCUUCCACUAUCCACUAAAGCAGUAGCUGUAACCUCUUCAAUCUUUACUGACAUAAUAAAUGUGUUCUUGGCAGAACUGAGACCAUUGGCAGCAUGUACUGAAACUUGUAGCACUGUCUCUGGUGAUGGUGCUUCCUGUGUUUCCAAAUCAGGAUCUUCAAAAUCUGUAACAUAAAUUAUAUAUGAAAAAUCUCCUGAGCUUGUAGAGCUUGAAUCUGUGCCUUUUGGCUCAUUUUACACACUUGCCUAUGUCCUGGAACCCAUGGUUCUCUGCACUUGUAACAUACUUGGUUUUGCUUAGCUUGCUGGAUAAUUGUGCUCUUUGUAAGAGUAGAUGUGCCACUCUGAACAUUUGACUGAUCAAAGUUCACCUGCCUCUUAGCUUGUGGAAAAUAAGGCUUUGUUUGAACCACUACUGGUGGUGGCUGGGCCUUUUCCAUUCUCCUAGCAUACCACACAGCAGUUUGCAUAUCUUUAGGUUUGAAACACUCUACAUGACUUUUGAUGUAAGGAUUCAGGCCAGCUAUAAAACCAGUAACAUAGUAAUCAUUUGGAAUUCCAGGGUUUUCCCUCCUCAUGAUAUUCAUCAGGCGUUCAAACUGCUCUACAUACCCUGCUACAGUUGUAGUUUGUUGGACAGCAUGAAAAGAUGUUACAAUAUCACAGACAGACUGGACAGAAAAUCUUUCAGAUAACAGGGAACAAAAUUUGUGCCAAGCAAUGUUACUAGGUGUUCUAGCAGCAGCAAAAUACUGCUCCAAAUUUUGUAUCCAAGACUCUGGGUCCUCACCUUCAAACUCAACCAUGUUCAAUUUAGCAGGCUUAACAGUGAGAGGACUUCUUCUGUUAUCCAUUGGAGUGCCCACUCUUCUUUUGCAAUUGUUGUCAUACCCCUCUACUUCCUGUAAAUCUUCUAUCUGAGCAUUGUUCAUUGCCACUGCAGUUUGGCCCAUUGCCUCUGUUUUGUUGUUUCCAAAGUUGGUGUGCCUAUAAGGUUGUUUCAGAGUACCAUCCAGAUUCAACUCUCUCCCAUUCUGAUCUCUCAAAACUGCAGUGCCCACUACUCCAGUAACACUUUUUCAGGCAUAGUAACAGAUGGUGGAGUAUUUGGAAUUAACUGCUUUGGACGCCCCGGAGCUGCUUGAGGGGAAAAAACAGGGUUUUCUUUCUGCAAAACAUCACCUUGAACCGAGCCAUUAUCACCCUCAUCUACUCUUCCCGGAUCUGGGUCCAGUAACAACCUUCUAAAGUUCUCCUGAAUUUUAUCAAAAUUCUUCUGCAUAGUAAUGAAGUUCUUGUUUACCGUAGUUUGGAACUGAUGAAACUCCUUACGAUCUUCUUCUCUUUCCUGCCUCAAAGUCUUCAGAUCUGCUGUUGUUGCUGAUUCUGCUGCUCCUGUCAUGAUGUGCACCACCCGGCUGCUCUGUAGGGAGGGAAGGGAGGGAGUUUUCAACUGCUCAAUCGCUCGCCGCCGCUAACACCGCCACCAGCCAACACCGCCACCAGCAACCGCCUCCACUGGCACACGGUCAGAUCCUCGACCCUGGGGUUUUACCACCAAAGCAAUAAGCUUCAGCAACCAGGUAGAAGGCCCGACUGCACCCGAAUUUCGCCACUCCGGCCGCCUCCUACACACCGCGCCGAUCUGAGAUCUGGAGAUAAUUUCUCUGCCUCAACCAGCUUCUUCUCCUGCCCGUCCUUGCCGAGGAAAGACUGGGCCUCUGAUACCAUUUGUCAAGAACUAACUACUCUGACAGCCUUAAGUGGACGCUAGAACACUGAAGAACACGCGAAUUUCAGAGAAUUUGAGCUAGGGAUUUCAUUGCAUAGAAGGGAAAGUAGUUUUGCUCACCACCGGCGGCUAGGGUUCACACCCAAUACAUAAUCAUCAUGAACCAAAA